rnacentral:lncRNA from 1 species
CUUUAAUAAUAAAACUUUAAUUUUACCAACUCCACUAGAGAGUUCAGUAAAGAGAGAGUGCAAGAUCAAGACCCUAAGUUGCUGGAGGAGGAAGGCUAAGCCUUUGAACUAAUUAUCCCUGUGACUGAGAAAAGCAUUUGUGAAACUUUGCCUAUGUCACACAAUAAAGGAGUUGGAAUUCAAACCCUAGUUUAACUCUGAAACCAUUGUGUUUCUUCAAUAUUUUGUUCUUAUCAGCCACUAAGGCGGCUGUAAUGUUAGAAAUGUACAUGCACCAUAUUUCCAGGCAGACUUAAAUGAUUGUUAGAAUGAAGUGCCGUGGGAGUGCCAAGAAGGGUUAAUUCUAUCUGGUGAUCAGAGGAGGCUAAACAAAGAAGAUGGCUUUGAAAGUGUCCUUGAAGGAUGCUUAGGAUUUCAUUAAACAGGUGAAAGGGAUAGGGGUCUUAUGGGCUGAUGAAAGAGCAGCAGAAGCAAAGGCAGCUUGGCUCUAGGGCACAGUCUGUAUCUGGGGAAUGGGAAUGUUUAGAUGCCAAAAGAAAGAAUUUCGACUAUAUAAGCAGUGAGCCAUCCCAGGUGUUGGAGCAGGGGAGUGGUGUUCUCCAUUCUGAGUUUUGAGGGAAAGAAUGCUGUGGCACUGUGAAGGAGGGAUUAAAUUACUACUUUAGUGGUCCACUUGAGAAAUAAUCAGGAUCUGAGAGAUGGAGAAAAAACUAGGGAACUGCAAAAAGAUGUUCAGAAGCCCAAUCUACUAGAUACUGUAGGUGAGGGAUAUGGGGGAAUCAAGAGUUACUGAGGCUUCUAAACUGGGUGACUGAGCGAGUAAUGAUUCUAGUCACUACAAAGGGAGCACAGUGGGGGGAAAUUUUUGUUAGAAUAUAGAGUUUGGGAAGGUUUUGGGGUGCUAAUGACAUACAUGCGGAGUACCUCACAGUAAAUUGUCUAGAGCUGGAGAUGCAAGCCUGGGAUGUUUUCCAUGAGGCCAUGGGGAAAAGACACAAUGAGAGAGGGCAGAGGACAGAGUCUGGGGAAUACCUCAUUUUAUGAGUAAAUAUGAAAUAGGGUUACCAUGGAGUAGAUGGUGGCACUGGUUAGAUUAGGCUGGUCAAUGUCGCUGAUUAAAGAACUUGAGGAUGGGGUGCAAUUUGUCUCUUAGUGAAUAAGAGGCCAGAGAAUGAGUGAAUGGGCCAGGUUGGGAGAGACUCAGGGCAAGAGAUGAGGCAGGUUGUGCAGAAGAACUGGGGGCAAUGUAGCAGGAAUCAUUUUAAUUUCUUUCUGCUUAAAGAGUAUUGCCUCUCAAAGGAGCCACCAGAAUGGUGGGAGGUCCCCACCAAGAUUCCCUACACACUGCAAAGUCUGGCUUAGUGACAGUUAAGGGACAGUUUUCUCUUCCCAUUUACUUUCUCCAUACCCACCAAGCCUGAAUGUGCUCCCAGGCUGGGCUAUUAAUUCGCCCUCUAUUUACUGUACUCUUCCUGUAAAGCAAAUUCUGGACUAUAAAGGGUAGCAAGAGGGAGAGCAUUGUGGUGAUGAGAUAGUCCUGUAUUUGAUUUCAGUAGUGGUUUCACAAGUCCUCAUGUGAUGAAAAGACAGAACCACACACACACAUUUUACCAAUGCUAGUUUCCUAGUUUUGAUAUUGUACUGUAAUCAGGUAAGAUGUAAACAUUGGAGGAAACUGGGUGAAGGACAUAGGGCCAUCUCUGUACUAUCUUUGCAACUUCCUGU